UACCUGCAGCUCGAGUGGUAACCGCUAUUAUUGGGCCUAAAGCGUCCGUAGCCGGUUUGGUAAAUAUCUGGGUAAAUCGUGAGGCUUAACUUCACGAAUUUCGGAUAGACUGCCAGACUUGGGAUCAGGGGAGGUCAGAGGUACUCCAGGGGUAGCGGUGAAAUGUUGUAAUCCUUGGAGGACCACCGGUAGCGAAGGCGUCUGACUAGAACGAGUCCGACGGUGAGGGACGAAGCCCUGGGGCGCAAACCGGAUUAGAUACCCGGGUAGUCCAGGGUGUAAACGAUGUGGGCUUUGUAUUGGAGGUCCCACGUGGGCGUCCAGUGCAGAAGAGAAGUUGUUAAGCCCACCGCCUGGGAAGUACGGUCGCAAGGCUGAAACUUAAAGGGAUUGGCGGGGGAGCACAGCAACGGGAGGAGCGUGCGGUUU
rnacentral:rRNA from 1 species